rnacentral:rRNA from 1 species
UACGGAGGGGGCGAGCGUUGUCCGAAGUUACUGGGCGUAAAGCGCGCGUAGGCGGGUGGGUAAGUCCGCUGUGAAAGCCCGGAGCUCAACUCCGGAGGGUCGGUGGAUACUGCCCAUCUUGAAGGUGCUAGGGGGAGAUGGAAUUACCGGUGUAGCGGUGAAAUGCGUAGAGAUCGGUAGGAACACCAGUGGCGAAGGCGGUCUCCUGGAGCAUACUUGACGCUGAGGCACGAAAGCGUGGGGAGCAAACAGG